UGUAGUACUUUAAAUAUUUUAACUACAUCAGUUUCCAAUGGAUCACUGAAGUUAAGCAACGUUGCACGUGGUUGGUAUCCGAAUGGGUGACCACCAGGGCAAUUUCGUACUGCUGUUU
rnacentral:rRNA from 1 species